AGCUAUAUGAGUUAAUAUAUAGUUAUUUCUGCUCCAUGAUUAUUAAAUAGCCGCAGUACCCUAACUGUGCAAAGGUAGCAUAAUCAGUUGGCUUUUAAUUGAAGUCUGGUAUGAAUGAAAAUAUGGGUGGUAACUGUCUUAACAUAUUUAUUCGAAUUUAUUAAGCAAGUGCAAAUACUUGCAAAUCUCAAAA
rnacentral:rRNA from 1 species